AUUGAACGCUGGCGGCAGGCCUAACACAUGCAAGUCGAACGAGUGGCGGACGGGUGAGUAAUGUCUGGGAAACUGCCCGAUGGAGGGGUAUAACUACUGGAAACGGUAGCUAAUACCGCAUACCAUCGGAUGUGCCCCGAUGGGAUUAGCUUGUAGGUUAGGUAACGGCUCCCCUAGGCGACGAUCCCUAGCUUGUCUGAGAUGAUGACCAGGCACACGGGAACUGAGAAACGGGCAAGACGCCUACGGGAGGAAGCAGGGGGGAAUAUUGCACAAUGGGCGCAAGCCUGAUGCAGCCAUGCAGCGGGGAGGAAGAAGGCAUUCGGGUUGUAAAGGACUUUCAGCGGGGAGGCGUGACACGCAGAAGAAGAACCGGCUAACUCCGUGCCAGCAGACGCGGUAAUAC
rnacentral:rRNA from 1 species